rnacentral:rRNA from 1 species
UGGGGAAUAUUGCACAAUGGGCGCAAGCCUGAUGCAGCCAUGCCGCGUGUAUGAAGAAGGCCUUCGGGUUGUAAAGUACUUUCAGUCGGGAGGAAGGUGGUAAGGUUAAUAACCUUAUCAAUUGACGUUACCGACAGAAGAAGCACCGGCUAACUCCGUGCCAGCAGCCGCGGUAAUACGGAGGGUGCAGGCGUUAAUCGGAAUUACUGGGCGUAAAGCGCACGCAGGCGGUUGAUUGAGUCAGAUGUGAAAUCCCCGGGCUUAACCCGGGAAUUGCAUCUGAUACUGGUCAGCUAGAGUCUUGUAGAGGGGGGUAGAAUUCCAUGUGUAGCGGUGAAAUGCGUAGAGAUGUGGAGGAAUACCGGUGGCGAAGGCGGCCCCCUGGACAAAGACUGACGCUCAGGUGCGAAAGCGUGGGGAGCAAACAGG